CCCUAUCUGCUCAAUUUUCUGUAAACCUAAAACUGCUUUAAAAAAUUGUUUAUUAAUUUUGUAAAAAGUGCAACCCAUGGCUUGACCAGUUCUGUAUAUACCACUUUCUUAGGCAGUAAAUUAUCUUUGCAGAGCGCCUUUGGGCAACAAGCAAUGAUGCAGCAUAGCCCACAUAGACAGAAGGGUUUUGAAGACAACAAGCCUUCAAACUCAUCCCCCCACUAGAGUGUGAGCAGGAAUGACAGAAGGAGGAACAGAAUGUGGUGUGUGGAACCCUGGGUCCCCCUUUUAGCUACAAUCAAGGAGUCACUGAGCACACGAAGGCAGCCUCGCAGGGGUAGCACCGCUCUAAGAAACAAGCGACACUUCUGACUUGUUUUACCCAAAUAACUUAAAUAAGCAAAUAAUAACCAAGUGAUUCAUCCUACAUGAUCUUCAGUUUUCCCAUUGAUACAACUGACAGUAUUAUGCAUUAUAGAUGCUGCUGUGUUGUUUUCAAGCCUUCCUUGAAAGCCUUAACAAAAACGUCAAAACAUCCUCGCAUAUGAUACUGAUGAUAAGGAAGUGGAUAUGUGUGAUCACAUAUGAGAUAUCUUAUUAAGGAAAGUGUGGGUGGGAGGGUUCUUCUUUAGAAUAUUUUCAAAAAGCUCUUCUAAACACUAGAUAUAUUUUUUAUUACUUUUACUGCUGUUCUGAAGUUUUGUCUAAGGACCGCAGGGGUUUUCUUAACCUUACAAGUAAGUUUCUGUUGAGUAGAACCUCGUCAUGCUACUUGUUGCUGUUGAUAGAGUUUGUUAAGCCAACAGUGAAAGCAAUCUGUCCUCUCAAUGCAUGGUAGCACUUCAAUAGUGGAGAUUCUGUAAUGAAUUUUAAAAUCAGAGAUGAGAAGCAUUUCCCCCACCCACCUGGGAUUGGAAAGAGAAAAUUCAGUAAGACAAAACAGGAUGCAGAGCUUAAGAAGUGGGUUAGAGCCCACGAAGUUCUAAGAAUCACAACUGUUGAAGAAAUAUUAAGCAGACCAGAAAAUUAGUGAAAUGAGUCCAGGUUGAGUGAGACUGAAUGCUUUCCCCAAGUCCCACAUGGUAACUGCCUUUUUUCUUCUGUAGGGAGAGAAAGAAUUGGGAAGAGAUUUCAGAUUUCUAGAGAUUCACUUGAAUAGUUCCUACUGCACUGCUCACUGGGACAAUAUUCUUUCUCCUCCCCAAGGUGGCCAUAUGGAGCAGCAGUUCACCCCAUCCAUUCACUCUCAUCACUUAGAAUGGAGUUGUCCCCAUGCAAACAUCGAGCAAUGGCACCGUGAGAAUUGAUAGGCUCAUGAAAGCAAGGCUGAUGGGAGCCCUGGGGUGCACCCCCAAACUAAAAGGACUCAGGUUGCAAGACCUGUCACUUAACAGUCACAGCAGGAUAUAUUUUUGGUACCCACAAAAUGGAAAUCACUUUACUUGGGGAAGAGCAAGAGGACAAGAUGAGAUGAAAAGGAAGCAUGUUUAAAAUGGAUAAAAGGAGGCACUUUUUUCCCACUACACACAAUUGAACUGGGGAACUCACUGCAGCAGGAUAUUAAGAUCAAUGGUGAAGGUUUGUGUUUUAAAAGAUUAGACAUUUCACAUGCAUAUCAUCAACAGCGACACUCAAUGGGAUGAAAGUAAGAUGGAUGAAAGUUCUCAAGCUUCAGUGCGUAAGUUGAUCACCAACUGGGUCAGGUGAAAAGAAAACAAGUUGUCUACUGGAUUAAAAUUUCACAGAAAGGCAGAUCUGGGGGGUUCCAGUCAUUGCUGCUGUGUAACAAACCACUCCAAAGUAGGGGUGUGAACCAACAGGCAUUUUAUUAUGCACAUGGAUACGGUGGAUCAGGAAUUUGGAGAGGGCACAGCAGGGAUGGCUUGUCUCUGAUUCAUGACAUCUGGGGCCUCAGUUGGGAAGACUUGAACAACUAGGAAUGACUUGAGGUUGGGGGCUGGAAUCAUCUGGAAGCUUCUUUACCUAACCUGGGAUGACUUGAAGGCUCACUCAGCUGGGACUGUCAAGUGGAGCAUCUAUAUGUAGGUGUCAAGAGGGAGUGUCCCAAGAAAAAGCACUUCCAAAAAACAAGUGUCCCAAGAGACCCAGGUAGAAACUACACGGCCUUUUAUGACCUAUCCAUGGAAGUUUUAGAGCAUCACUUCCAACACAGUCCAUGGGUCAAAACCGUCACAAGCCCACUGAGAUUCAAGAGGAGGAGACUUAGGACCUCCUACAUCCCUCCCCUAUGGGGAAUGGCAAGAUCACAUUGCAGAAAAACCUGUGGGAUGGGAGAGGUUUUCGCAGCCAUCUUUGGAAAAUGCAAUCCCCCAGGGAAGUGGUGGGUGAUGUGAGGUUACAAGAACACACAAUCUAGUGGAAAAAACUGACAUAUGAACAGAGAAUCACAGUACAAUAAAAUAAAUUUCAAGGUAGUUAUUUCCCCCUCUUUGACAAGAAUUCUUUUUUUUCCCCUUUGAUAAGAGUCAUCACAUUAAAAUUUUUUCAUUCA